ensembl:piRNA 21ur-4644 ncRNA
UAUUCCUACCUUUAAAGUGUU